AGGAUUCUAUGGCGGAUGAAGCCCAUUAUUAUGGAUUUAAAAUUAUUAACUUCACAGACAGGGAAAAAUCUAAAUCAACGUUGUAAUAUCCUGAUAAAUUCAAAAUAACUGAUACCUUACAAAAUUCCACAGGUUAUGGACUUCAAUGGCCUAUAAAACAUGGAGUGUCAUCCGGUUUAAUCAUUCCUAGCUGACUGGCAGAAUUUACGGCUUCUGAACCAGCUUCAAACUAAAUUAAAAAAAAUUUGACAGUCAGCUGCAAUCAUUAAGAACAUGAAGCUUUCUGGCUAGUUUAUAUAUACUACCAUACGAAACCAUAUUCAUUCCAAAAAGUGGUCGUUCUGAAAUUGUUUCCGCUCCCAUAGGAGGUCUCAGUGUAGCGUUUGACGGUUUUGACUCCUUGCACGUAUUACAGUUUGCAACAAAAGCGCGAAUCUGACAAUAGUAGUGAUUCAUAAGUAGUGAUUCAUAAGUAGUGAUUCAUAAUCACUACUUCUAAACUCUUCCGAAUCGAGAUCCAGACAUUUGCUUGAAUUCGUUAAAACUUCGUUCACACACACAGGGACACAGCGACAGGAACGAUGUUCUUCGCGCCGGGGCGAUGCUCUAUGCUAAAGGCAAAAGAUUGCAGAUGCAGACUCCACCGGGUUAAACGACC